UACGUAGGUGGCGAGCGUUGUCCGGAUUUACUGGGCGUAAAGAGCGCGCAGGCGGUCGUACAAGUCGCGUGUGAAAGCCCCCGGCUCAACUGGGGAGGGUCACGCGAUACUGUUCGACUCGAAGGCAGGAGAGGGAAGCGGAAUUCCCGGUGUAGUGGUGAAAUGCGUAGAGAUCGGAAGGAACACCAGUGGCGAAGGCGACUGUCUGGCCAGAUACUGACGCUGAGGCGCGAAAGCGUGGGGAGCAAACAGG
rnacentral:rRNA from 1 species